UACGUAGGGGGCUAGCGUUGUCCGGAAUCAUUGGGCGUAAAGAGCGUGUAGGCGGUCCGGUAAGUCCGCUGUGAAAGUCGGGGGCUCAACCCUCGAAUGCCGGUGGAUACUGUCGGGCUAGAGUGCGGAAGAGGCGAGUGGAAUUCCUGGUGUAGCGGUGAAAUGCGCAGAUAUCAGGAGGAACACCCGUGGCGAAAGCGGCUCUCUGGGACGGUACUGACGCUGAGACGCGAAAGCGUGGGGAGCAAACAGG
rnacentral:rRNA from 1 species